rnacentral:rRNA from 1 species
CAAUAGCGUAUAUUAAAGUUGUUGCAGUUAAAAAGCUCGUAGUUGAACUUCGGAACCGGUCGAUUGGUCCGUCCUCUGGAUUGUGUACUGAUCGAUCUGUUCUUCUUCGCGAAGACCGCGUGUGCCCUUAACUGGGUGUGCACGGGAUUCACGACGUUUACUUUGAAAAAUUAAGAGUGUUCAAAGACAGGCAUUCGCUUGAAUAUCUCAGCAUGGAAUAAUAGAAUAGGACUUUGGUCUUAUUUUGUUUGGUUUCCGUAGACCGAAGUAAUGAUUAAUAGGGACAGUUGGGGGCGAUUCUAUUUCUAUUGUCAGAGGUGGAAAUUAC